ACGUUCAGGUAAUCGCUGCAGUCUAUAGGACUGUAGAGGAAAGUCCAUGCUCGCACGGUGCUGAGAUGCCCGUAGUGUUUGUGCCUAGCGAAAUCAUAAGCUAGGGCAGCCAGGUUUUUCUUGGCUGACGGCAGGGAAAAAGCCUAAGUCCUUAGGAUAUGGCUUGACUACCUUGAAAGUGCCACAGUGACGGAGUCUUGCGAGAAAUCGUAAGAGUGGAACGAGGUAAACCCCAUGAGCGAGAAACCCAAAUUAUGGUAGGGGCACCUUCUUGGAGGAAUUGAACGAAGAGAAGGACAAAAGGGUAUUCCUUUUUGUAGAUAGAUGAUUACCACCUGAGUACGAGGCCCAUAGCCGCUUGGAGUACGAUGGAACAAAACAUGGCUUAUCGAA
rnacentral:RNase_P_RNA from 1 species